GUGCCCUCUUCAGCAGCACCUACACUAAAACUGGAACGGUACAGAGAUUAAAAUGGACGCUGUGAAAGGACGACACAAAAGUUCGUGAAGUGUUCCGUAUUUUU
rnacentral:snRNA from 1 species